UUACCUGUAGCUUCCCCCAUAAGCCAAGUGAAUUCAUUUCCUUCUCCUACAAGUUGGCUUCCUCAACAAGCCAUUAGACUUUCCCAUUCCUCUCUUCACCGUAAGCUUCCUCAAGAAGCUGAGUAAAUCCUCUUGCUUGCAGCUUCCUUCAGAAGCUAAUCAAAUAUCAUUCCCUUCUCCUAUACGCCAGCGUCUAAGGCAAGGCAAGUAAUACUCUUCUUCCUUCUCUUACACGCUGAUUCCAAGGGACAAGAAAAACAAAAACAAUUCCUUUCUCUUCCUCACUUACCCAUCGGUCCCAAGGCACACGGAGGAGAGAAAACUUCUCUAGUCUCCUCACUCACACGAAGAACCCUUCGGUUUCCCCUCUCCCAACCGCGCGACCUCUUCUUCUCCUCAAGCUGAUUCUCCCAUUUCGUAAACCCAGGUUUCCACCGAAAGCCUUCAAGGAAAAUCCACCGUCUUUGAGGUUUCGAACUUCUCUUCAUUUCUUGUUGCUGUGUACUUCCGUGACUGCAAAAGAGACCCAAACAGGUAAUGAUGAAAAGGCUGGGGAGUAAGGCAUUACUGCAGAGGGAGAGGCAGACGCUUAGGACUUUCCCUAACGAGGACAGUUAUGUUACGAAUGAUGGGUUAUGUUAUGUAUAGAUAUUUUAAUUUGAGAUGGACUCUGAGAGUCUCUUAUGGAUGAAUGUUCGAAUAGAACGUCCAUUAAGUGUUCCCUUUUAUUAAACGAAAAAUUUAGAGUGCAUGUGUG